GAUGAGUUAAUUUUGACUUUGGAAAAAAAUAUUUUGCGUUUUCUUUUCUGGAGUAAUCAAAACUCAAAGAAAGACUAGAAAGUCAAGGUAAGUUUAAGAGCAGUAUUAAGACUUCUUUUUUUUUUUUCAGUCGAGGUGUUUUUAUUUAUUUAAGUAGUUGCUCUCGAAUCUUCUGCAUUAUCGUUAUUUGUUAAUAAAUGAGAUGGGUCCCGCGGGGCCCAAGGGAGGCCUUCCCUUUUGCACGCGCUUGGUAGCUGGCGUGCAAGACACUCUAAAAUGGCGGUCCCCGCGAAGCCGAAUUUGUAGAUGUAAGUGCACGUGAGAUUCAUAUAGCGUACAGCGCAGACUUACCUGAAAAGGCCGGGGGCUGUGGAGUCUGUCUGGAAACGGCAAAGCGCAAAAGAAAGAGGGCAGCAUGUCUCUAAACAAAGAUUUGAGAGUAACACUGACGCGCUCGCAAAGAGAAUGCGGAAGGUUUUCUUU
rnacentral:lncRNA from 1 species